AGGAAAAAUGGGGGGCCGGCGAGCUCCUCCUCUUUCUCCCUCCAUAUCUCCUCUCUCUCUCUCGCUCCUUUUCUCCUUCUGUCUCUCGAAGGGGAAACUUGGUGGCCAGUUCUUUUGCCACGUCGAACCUCCAGCCGGUCCACCUUGCUCAUAACCGGAGCGCUUCUUCUUCUUCUUCUUCUUCUUCUUUUCUUGGCUCUAGGAAGUAGAAUAAGAACACCAUCAAGCAGCUGCUUCUGCCUCCUAAACAGUGCGGCAGCGUUGAAUGAAAGGAGAUUCUGUGGACAGAAGAGCAACAUCAGCCGAGAAGAAGAAGAAACAUCAGUCAAGAAGUCGCAGGCCGUUCUUCUCCUCCGGCUCGCUCCAUCUUCAGCCUGAUCAGCACUUUGUAGCCAGACUGCGAGGAGCUGGGAGUCUGGCGGUGAGUACCGGUUCAAUCUGGAAGCCUAAACUUUCUCCACAGCAUCCUCCAGCCGCCCAGCCCGCCUGCCCAGUGUUCAGACUACCUGUUCAGGAAGUAGUGGUUGUACAGUAGUCUGCACAUUGGUUAGGCUGGCCGGGGAAGCACGGGACAAAGCGUCCAAAAGGAAGAAAAGAAACUAAAAGCGCUGCAGAGGGCUUCCAGAGCACAUUUGUGGGAACAAACAGCAGCACCACCCCUCGUCCAUCUGGACCAGCCUGGGCACAAGCCUAAAUAAAGCACCCAAAGGCCCCACCACAGAGGCCUAGCCCUCGCCCAGCAUGGAUUUAUGAGUGACAGACGUCCUAAAAAUGUAGCCAUAAGGUUCAUUUUGCUCUUAAAGUGUUGUGUGCUGUCAUCUAACCGAGAUUUAAAUCUGCUGCUUGUGGAAUUCAUCGGAAAUAGUUGAAAUAAAGAUGCUUGGAUUCCAA